GCCCUAGUAGCUUAACGUUUUAAAGCGCCG
rnacentral:tRNA from 1 species